AUUUAUAUAGUUUAAAAAAAACACUACAUUUUCAUUGUAUAGUUAAAAUAUUAAUUUUUAUAAAUA
rnacentral:tRNA from 1 species